rnacentral:rRNA from 1 species
CUUCGGCCCGAGUUGUAAUUUGCAGAGGAUGUUUAUGGUGCGGUACCUUCCGAGUUCCCUGGAACGGGACGCCACAGAGGGUGAGAGCCCCGUCUGGUUGGAUACUAAACCUGUGUUAAACUCCUUCAACGAGUCGAGUAGUUUGGGAAUGCUGCUCUAAAUGGGAGGUAAAUCUCUUCUAAAGCUAAAUACCGGCCAGAGACCGAUAGCGCACAAGUAGAGUGAUCGAAAGAUGAAAAGCACCUUGAAAAGGGGGUUAAACAGUACGUGAAAUUGUUGAAAGGGAAGCGUUUAUGACCAGACUUGUGUCGUGUGGCUCAUCCGAGGUUCUCCCCGGUGCACUCCACGCGGCUCAGGCCAACAUCGGUUGUCGUUGGGGGAUAAGAACAGUAGGAACGUGGCCCCUCUCGAGGGGUGUUAUAGCCUGUUGUACGAUACCCUGAUGGCGACCGAGGACCGCGCUUCGGCUAGGAUGUUGGCGUAAUGGUCAUUAGCGACCCGUCUUGAAACACGGACCAAGGAGUCGUCCAUUAGAGCGAGCGUUUGGGUGUAAAACCCGCACGCGUAAUGAAAGUGAAAUUAGGUGAGAGCUUCGGCGCAUCAUCGACCGAUCCUGAAGUUUACAGAUGGAUUUGAGUAAGAGUUUUAACGGACGGACCCGAAAGACAGUGAACUAUGCUUGAAUAGGGUGAAGCCAGAGGAAACUCUGGUGGAGGCUCGCAGCGGUUCUGACGUGCAAAUCGAUCGUCAAAUUUGAGCAUGGGGGCGAAAGACUAAUCGAA